GAUUUACUUCGGUAAUGACGUUAGGAAAGCGAGCGGCGGAUGGGUGAGUAACACGCUGGGGAACCUGCCCCAUAGUCUGGGAUACCACUUGGAAACAGGUGCUAAUACCGGAUAAGAAAGCAGAUCGCAUGAUCAGCUUUUAAAAGGCGGCGUAAGCUGUCGCUAUGGGAUGGCCCCGCGGUGCAUUAGCUAGUUGGUAAGGUAAAGGCUUACCAAGGCGAUGAUGCAUAGCCGAGUUGAGAGACUGAUCGGCCACAUUGGGACUGAGACACGGCCCAAACUCCUACGGGAGGCAGCAGUAGGGAAUCUUCCACAAUGGACGCAAGUCUGAUGGAGCAACGCCGCGUGAGUGAAGAAGGUUUUCGGAUCGUAAAGCUCUGUUGUUGGUGAAGAAGGAUAGAGGUAGUAACUGGCCUUUAUUUGACGGUAAUCAACCAGAAAGUCACGGCUAACUACGUGCCAGCAGCCGCGGUAAUACGUAGGUGGCAAGCGUUGUCCGGAUUUAUUGGGCGUAAAGCGAGCGCAGGCGGAAGAAUAAGUCUGAUGUGAAAGCCCUCGGCUUAACCGAGGAACUGCAUCGGAAACUGUUUUUCUUGAGUGCAGAAGAGGAGAGUGGAACUCCAUGUGUA
rnacentral:rRNA from 1 species